ensembl:lncRNA
CUACACUUCAGGCUGGCUGAUUGCCUGAGCGUCCUUUAAGUCUAUUCACACAAAGCAUCCAAGACCCUAAAUCAUCCGUAGGCCUACGUUUCCCGCUCUUCUGGCACAUGGACAGGACUCCCAAACAGUUAACAUCCAGGACGAUUGACAAUGACGCGACAAGUGACACAAGAGACACACAACUUAAAUAAACUAGGGAGGUGCAGGUGAUUGGACACAGGUGGAAACUAUCAGACGAUCACAGGGGAUGACAGGACAAGGCAGGAAGUGAAGUUACCCGGUUACUCUAGAAGCAACCAACAUCUGCCUCAAGUCUUCGAGAAUAAACAAUCGUCCACGUCCACACUGCAUUAACUUCCCAGGAGACCCCUGCCAACCUGUCAGUGUGUUUACAUGAUGGUAUAAUUCGAAUCUUCGAGUCGGCCUAUGCCAUCUUUCGGGGGAAGGUGCUAUUAUCCCAAUACGUGAAUAAAUCAAAUCAUUGGCCGAAAGCAUGUCAUAUCCAAUACGAUAGGUGGCGCUGUUUUCAUUACAACUAGUUGUGAUACAGCCAUUUCCGCUUGACCUCUGCACCACUACCAACAACAACAACAUCAACAUUACACGAAAGAUGGCGAACGGAGAGCAAGGUCUCGAAGAGCACUCUGGAUGAAGAGCAGAAACAAAGGCUUCUGGGAGAGAGAUGUUUCGACCGUAUUUGAUGACAAAGACUGGAAAGCGAAGUUUCGCAUGACUUGAGGAUCUUUCCACAAGUUGUGUGGAAUUAUGGAAGGAGUCAUGAAGCACGCGGAGGUGACUGUUCGAGCACCAAUACCGCUGUCCUCCAAGGCGUAGUGGACGACAUGUGUCGCUUCUGGAGCAUCAACUGUAAGAUGCCUGGGUGUGCUCAUGACGCUAACGUGCUGAGGCAAUCGACGUUCAGCCAGGCACACCUGUUACCAAAAGAACCAAGAUAAAUCGAUGACGUCUCAAUCGGUAACUUCCU